AUGAGCAGCUCCCGCCGCCUUCCCCGCUCGCCACCGGACGACGAAGACCUGCUGUCGGAGAUCCUCCUCCGCCUCCCCCCUCAGCUCUCCUCCCUCUGGCGCGCCUCGCUCGUCUGCAAGCGUUGGCGCUGCCUCGUCUCCGACCCCCGAUUCCUCCGCCGCUUCCGCCGCCAUCACCGCCGCAACCCUCCCCUCCUUGGCUUCUUCUUUGAGGAACUGACCCCUCCCCGCGGGAUCUCCUUCGUGCCAACUCUGGAGCCCCCAAACCGUGUCCCCGUCGGGCGCUUCUCUCUGCAGUUCGACGACGGCGACAGCUACAGGCUCCUCAACAGCCGCCAUGGCCUCGUGCUUCAGGCUGCAAGGAAGCACAACCAGGCCCUGGUGUGGGACCCAGUCAACGGCGACCAGCACCGCGUUGCCGUUCCCCCAAGCUUCUACAUGACGGCGCCGACCCGGGUCAGAGGGGCAGUGCUUCGGCCUGCCGGAGACACCCACCACUUCCAGGUUGUCUUGAUAGGCACGCACAAAGAACAGCAUAAACCAGGGAUCGCCUGCGUUUACUCCUCGGAGACCAAGGAAUGGGGUAAUCUUGUCUCAACACCGCUCCCACCCGAGAAUUCUAUCUACAGCUUUCGCACCAUUGUUUAUAGGGGCAUGGCCUGCGUCCUGGUUGGGAAUUCCCUUUACUGGAUGCUUUCUGAGAGAUCAGCUCGCAUCGAGUUUGAUUUGGAUAGACAGAGGCUAGCUGUGAUACAUGGGCCGGUGGACAUCUGUGACACUACCAAUUGCCAUUUCUCAGUUAUGAGAGCCGAUGGCGGUGGUCUUGGUUUCCUCUUUCUGUCAGAAUUCAACGACCAAAUAUGGAGCAGGAAGGAGGAUUGUGAUGCUGCUGUUUCAUGGGUGCUCAGAAGAACCAUUCAGCUGGAUAAGCUACUUCCCCUCAAACAAGGGAUGGGCGGAGUGCCCCUGAUGCUAUUGUUACUAGGAUUGGCUGAGGACAAUAAUGUGUUGUUCCUGAUGGCAGAUGCCGGCAUCUUCAUGCUCCAGCUUGAGCCGUUGCAGUUCAAGAAAUUUUCCAAAAUCAGCUUCUGGCGACACCUUCAUCCAUUUGAAACUGUCUAUACUGCAGGUAAUAGCACACCUUUACACUCUGCCCGUACCAAAAAAAACCCCGGAAUGCUACUCAUGUUAUUCCGUGUUAGAGCAUCUCCAAUAGAUGAUCUAAAUGUAAAAAUAACUAACUUUUGGACCGUCUAA
rnacentral:rRNA from 1 species